CCCAGAGAUGACUGAGAGGCUAGCAUGGGACUGAUCCAGACAUCCUCACUCCCCCAGCCAGGGUGUAAGAGAAGAGGCCUAGGCAAUCUGUGGGGAGCUUUGGAGAGUAGAUCAGUAUUUAUUCCUGGCAUACAAUGCACUCUGGGAGCCCAUUCCACAUGAAGGGAUGCUCUCUCAGCCUGGACACAUGGGGGAGAAGCUAUCUGUGAUCAUAGAAUUCAGCUUGCCUGGACUACAAAGUACGUGAGAUACAGGCGGUUAUCUCCACAGUGAGCAAAACUCUGUCCACUGCUCUACAAGAACCUCAAGAAAGUCCUCUCUCCUACACCAACAACACUUCCUCAGAACCAAUUCAACCUUCCCCAACAGCCUGCCUUCUCCUUGUCACCAUAUCUUGGCCUACAAGACAUAUGGAUGCCCCAUGUUCUAUCAGAGGGCCCACCAACACCCAGUACCCAAGGCCUCAACACAGGUAGAAGCUCCUUGCUUUACUAGAGGCCACUACUGCACCCAGGAUUCCAGAAGACAUGCAGGCCACCAGAAUCCCAGGAGAGGCACCCUGCUGAACCAAAGGACACACCAGCUACCGGAACCACAGGCCCCUUGGGCAAGUAGACGAAAGAGGAAACAGAAACAAUUGACUUCUGCAUCUGUGCAAUGGCAUGCCUGUGCUCACAUGAAUAUGAUAAUACUUUAAUGUGUAAAAAAAUAACAGCAUAGCAAAAAUAGAGGGUCACAACCCAUUUUAUGGGUUGUUUCGUUAUUUCAGAGGAAUGAUGACACUGGGGUUGGGCGUGG